rnacentral:rRNA from 1 species
UGGGGAAUUUUGGACAAUGGGGGAAACCCUGAUCCAGCCAUCCCGCGUGUGCGAUGAAGGCCAUCGGGUUGUAAAGCACUUUUGGCAGGAAAGAAACGUCAUGGGUUAAUACCCCGUGAAACUGACGGUACCUGCAGAAUAAGCACCGGCUAACUACGUGCCAGCAGCCGCGGUAAUACGUAGGGUGCAAGCGUUAAUCGGAAUUACUGGGCGUAAAGCGUGCGCAGGCGGUUCGGAAAGAAAGAUGUGAAAUCCCAGAGCUCAACUUUGGAACUGCAUUUUUAACUACCGGGCUAGAGUGUGUCAGAGGGAGGUGGAAUUCCGCGUGUAGCAGUGAAAUGCGUAGAUAUGCGGAGGAACACCGAUAGCGAAGGCAGCCUCCUGGGAUAACACUGACGCUCAUGCACGGAAGCGUGGGGAGCAAACAGG